AGAGUGCCUAUUAUUAAAUGUAAUGCAGUCACUUGAGCUUUUGAAUCUGAAAUUUCUUCUUCAUAAAGAAUGUAUGCUUGGGUAAAAAAUUCGUAAGCAACAGGUUCUAAAUCACAAUCAUUUGCAGCCUCAGCACAUUGUAGAUACAACCGAAAUGCCAAUUCUGGGGCUGGAACACUGGAAAGGAUCUCAAUGGUCUGAGUUAAUAGCUGAAAAAUUUUCUUCGGG
rnacentral:misc_RNA from 1 species